GGGCGGAGUUCAUGUUUAACUAUGGCGGAGCACACGGUAGAACAAGGAAAAGAAGAAGAGAAGAAGGUAAAAAGAAGUUAUAUCUUUGAUGGAUGCAACAUACUUAACGUUAUACGCUUAUGCAAAACGGCUCUAAGUAUUUUAACCACAUAAAGAUUCAGAGAGGUUCAGCGCUACCACCUUUGGAGCAAUGCACAACAUGCUGCAGAAAUUUUCACUGCCCUUUUUGUGAUGGUCUUUGAGGCACCCUUUGAUUUCACAGCUGUAAGUCUUUGUUAAAAAUAUAUAUUUUAACUAAAUAAUAUAAUCUAUUAAAUUGAUCUAUUAACACUUUUUUCCCCCCUUAUGCAAGUCUGAUUUCCCUCUUAUUCGAAAAUGGUGAUGCCUUAUUCUGAUGGAGAACUUUGCCAUUGAAAGGAAACAUUGAUGUGCAGGUGCCACCUAAAGCACAAGAAACUGAAAUCGACGACAAGGAACCACAGAUAGUCAAAGACCUCAGGACAGGAGCUGCAUGGCUCCGGGAAAACUGCCACUCGUUCAGAGGUUUUGUGGAUGAGCCUUUUGUGGAUGAGCCGUGGUAUCUUAACCUAAAUAAGGAAGACCAGGAAAAGGCCCUUAAAGGGUAACUAAACACCUGCUCAGAGUCUGACUCCACCCACUAGAAAUAUUUGAAAAUGCUGGAAAAGUGGGCAGACCCCGGCGGGGAUAGAGGGAACGAACCGAGUGCGGGGGGGGGAGACCUGAGACUCGUAGUGACGGAUUAAUUGACAGCUGUUGUCAGACUCUGUGUUAUUAUUAUUCCUCAUACGGUCGCAAGACAACAUGUACAUGAAUCUGGCAUGGUGAGCUGGAACCUGCUUACGUCAGCUGUCACUGCUUACAUCACGAAGUACCGCAAACAGCCAAUAGGAAAAUUCAACUGCAGUAGCCACCGUUCAACCUGAAGAGGGCAGCACUCAGACGUUUUUACACCAUAUAUUGUAGAAUUAAAACACUUUAUACACAAAUGUCAAAAAAAUUACUUGAAUCAAUGACCAGUACUAAUAAAGCCCCAUGCUUACAGAUCAUUAACUAAAAAAAGUUGGUUUAGGGUUUAGUUACCCUUUAAACUUGAUCAGGCAGAAAAGAAAGAUGAUCUGGAACUGGCCAAAGAGCCUUUCAUGUUUCAGUUCCAGUUUAAGGAAGACAUGGAACUUUUUCUUAGCAAGUGUCAUGAUGAAAGGCGCCUCAGGAUUAACUGCAUUUGUAUGGAGUUUUGAUUUAUUUUAAUUAUUUUUCUCUUGAGAAUUAUUGUUAAAUGUGUGCCUGCAUAACUUUUAUAAGAUUUAUAUUCUUUGGUUUAAUUUAGUUUUAUAUAAUUUAUUUAUUAUUUAGUUCAAUUUUGUAUUUUUAUUUAAUUACUAUUAUUUAUUUGGAGCAGGUACAGCUAGUGUGUGAUUCUUUUCAUAUUUCAAAAGAUGAUUUGAGGAAAAAACUAAUUUUAUUUAAAUUAAUCAUUUGUGUUUUUUCAGUCCAUCAUAUAAUUGUUGUGUUCUA